ACUAAAUGAUUUAUUUAGAAGAUUCCUUCUCUUCCCCUCUCACUCCCCCCCCCCAGUUUUUCCUUGGCUAAGAACAUAUUAAUCAGAAAUUAAAGGCAGAAAGAGAGUGAAGGAUGGAAGACUGAAUAACAAAGAAGAAAUGGAGGGAGAGAGAAGGAACCCGUGGGCAAAAAAAAUGAGGCUGGAGAAAGGGAAGAGUCAAGCAAGAAAGGUCCAACCACGGUGCAAGACAACGGAGAAUCAGGAAUACACAGUGCACUGGACAGCACAUAUCAAAACAUUCCUAUACACACAAAUACAUGCACGAAUGUAUAGAUGCAUCAGCUCACAGAUUCGCAUGAAACUAAGUAUUCACACCCGCCACCAGCCACCUUCAGAAAACUUUGCAUGUUCAACAGCUGGAGGAAGAUUUGACAGCUGUCAAUCAACGCACCUCCUCAAAGCUGGGUUCUUUCCGUGAUGCUGAGCAGCUGCAACUAGCUGCAACGGUGCAGCUGCUGUGCCUGCAGCUCCCGUCCACCUCGGCACUGGGGCAGGCGUGUGCAGUGCUGGGACUGGUUCUAAGGUGACACGUGCUCAGCAGUGCUAGCAAGAUGUCCACAAUGCACAGGUGCAUUUCUGCAUGUGGAGGUGAGGUAUUUUGUAGGCGGCGCGUGCUCUCCGUGUUGCAAGCACCAGAGAUGGUAUCCCCUCCUCCCCCAGUGGAAGAAUC